CCUACGGGAGGCAGCAGUGAGGAAUAUUGGUCAAUGGGCGCGAGCCUGAACCAGCCAAGUAGCGUGAAGGAUGACUGCCCUACGGGUUGUAAACUUCUUUUAUAAAGGAAUAAAGUGAGGCACGUGUGCCUUUUUGUAUGUACUUUAUGAAUAAGGAUCGGCUAACUCCGUGCCAGCAGCCGCGGUAAUACGGAGGAUCCGAGCGUUAUCCGGAUUUAUUGGGUUUAAAGGGAGCGUAGAUGGGUUGGUAAGUCAGUUGUGAAAGUUUGCGGGUCAACCGUAAAAUUGCAAUUGAUACUGGCAGCCUUGAGUACAGUUGAGGUAGGCGGAAUUCGUGGUGUAGCGGUGAAAUGCUUAGAUAUCACGAAGAACUCCGAUUGCGAAGGCAGCUUACUAAACUGCCACUGACAUUGAUGCUCGAAAGCGCGGGUAUCGAACAGGAUUAGAUACCCUAGUAGUC
rnacentral:rRNA from 1 species